AGGAAAACAAACCCAAAAUUUGUUUCCAAGUCCAAGUGUCGAGUUUCUGCAUUCUGUUAAAGUACGUGUAAUCCUCUCAAGAGCUUUCAAAGAUUCAUUCUGUUCAUCUACGUCUUUUCUUUUUUCAACCACCAACACCCUUCACUCACUAAACCUCUCUCUGUUUCUUCAGCACAAAAGUAUAUCUUUUAAUCUGAAAUUGCUGCACACGACUUCAAUUCUAUUAAACUUUUUUCAUUCCCACGUUCAAAUCAAGUGCUGUGAUCAACAAUUUUCACUCCAAGAACGACCUCUCUAAGCAAAAUGCAGAAGAUGCCGAGAGAAAGAGGAGAAGAGUUGGUGCUGCUCAGAAAGAGGAGUAAUGAGAAGGAGAAUAAUGUGACAGAAAGCAAACCAGAAAACAUGUCAAAGAAAAAGUCCAAUAUGUAUGGUCACAAUAAGAAGAAGGAAGGUGCAAAUGAGACGCUGAAGGUGAUAAAGGAAGAGACAGAGAAGUUGAGCAUAAAAGAAAGCAUAGACAAAUCAGGAACACAUUCUAAGGUGUGCUAUUGUGCACCAACCACUCAUGAAGGUUCAUUCAGGUGCCGUCUCCACCGCAAGAAAUCAGCCACAGAUAGUAAGAGCAAUACGAGGAUGAAUUCUCAGUGCACAAAAGGGAUGGUGGAGUUUCAGCCUCAUUUUUCAAGUGUUGGUAGGGUUCCCUCUUUUCAAGUUGGAACACAUGGUAGCCUACUCAAACUGUCAAGGAUGGAUUCUGUUUAAGGAUUUUAGCUUAGUUUCUUGUUCAACUUAUGGGUUAGAAUGGAUUCUUUCUAAGGAUUUUAGCCUAGUUUCUUGUUCAACUUGUAGGCUAGAGAGGUGUGUUUGUUUCCUGUCAUUCUUUUUCCAUUCUCGUGAAUGUGAUGUUCAAAAUAAA